UCUCUGGUGGCUCAGACAGUAAAGAAUCUGCCUGCAAUGCAGGAGACCCAGGUUCAACCCCUGGGUUGAGAC
rnacentral:tRNA from 1 species